rnacentral:rRNA from 1 species
GCUCGAGUGGUGGCCACUAUUACUGGGCUUAAAGCGUUCGUAGCUGGGUUGUUAAGUCUCUUGGGAAAUCUACCGGCUUAACCGAUAGGCGUCCAAGGGAUACUGGCAUUCUAGGGACCGGGAGAGGUGAGGGGUACUUCAGGGGUAGGAGUGAAAUCUUGUAAUCCCUGGGGGACCACCUGUGGCGAAGGCGCCUCACCAGAACGGCUCCGACAGUGAGGGACGAAAGCUGGGGGAGCAAACCG